UGGGGAAUUUUGGACAAUGGGCGCAAGCCUGAUCCAGCAAUGCCGCGUGCAGGAUGAAGGCCUUCGGGUUGUAAACUGCUUUUGUACGGAACGAAACGGCGAGCUCUAAUACAGUUUGCUAAUGACGGUACCGUAAGAAUAAGCACCGGCUAACUACGUGCCAGCAGCCGCGGUAAUACGUAGGGUGCAAGCGUUAAUCGGAAUUACUGGGCGUAAAGCGUGCGCAGGCGGUUAUGUAAGACAGAUGUGAAAUCCCCGGGCUUAACCUGGGAACUGCAUUUGUGACUGCAUAGCUAGAGUACGGUAGAGGGGGAUGGAAUUCCGGGUGUAGCAGUGAAAUGCGUAGAUAUGCGGAGGAACACCGAUGGCGAAGGCAAUCCCCUGGACCUGUACUGACGCUCAUGCACGAAAGCGUGGGGAGCAAACA
rnacentral:rRNA from 1 species